GCUGGAGUAGCUCAGUUGGUUAGAGUGUAUGUCUCUUAACCAGAAGGUCGAAGGUUUCGGUCCUUUCUCUAGCG
rnacentral:tRNA from 1 species